rnacentral:rRNA from 1 species
AUUGAACGCUGGCGGCGUGCUUAACACAUGCAAGUCGUGCGGUAACAGGCGUAGCAAUACGUGCUGACGAGCGGCGAACGGGUGCGUAAUACAUGGGAAUCUGCCUUUUAGUGGGGAAUAACCCGGCGAAAGCCGGGCUAAUGCCGCAUAAGAUCUUCGGAUGAAAGCGGGGGAUCGUAAGACCUCGCGCUGAUAGAUGAGCCCACUGCCGGAUUAGUCAGUUGGUGAGGUAACGGCUCACCAAGGCGACGAUCCGUAGCUGGUCUGAGAGGACGGCCAGCCACACUGGGACGUGAGACACGGCCCAGACUCCUACGGGAGGCAGCAGUGGGGAAUAUUGGACAAUGGGGAAACCCUGAUCCAGCGACGCCGCGUGUGUGAAGAAGGCC